rnacentral:lncRNA from 1 species
GGGGAGUUCAGAAAGACGCCGCACAAGGUCGGAAGCCGGAAGAGUCCUGAGAGGGUUGGCCUCUUACAAACUUCAGCUGGGGUUAUUUUAUACCCAACAUUCUCCUUUCUUGUUUGAUUAUUUUUUGAUUUGUAUUUGAUUAUAAUUAUCAAGGUGAUCUUGGUUUUGGGUUCAGAUCGUGUGUUUUCAAUUGUUGAAUUCAUGUAAAAAUUUUAAAAAAAUGAUCUUCCAUUGCAUAUUCGAAUCUUAAUAGUGGCAUCAGAGCCAUC